GAGUUUGAUCCUGGCUCAGAUUGAACGCUGGCGGCAGGCUUAACACAUGCAAGUCGAGCGGGGGAGAUUGCUUCGGUAAUUGACCUAGCGGCGGACGGGUGAGUAAUACUUAGGAAUCUGCCUAUUAAUGGGGGACAACAUCUCGAAAGGGAUGCUAAUACCGCAUACGCCCUACGGGGAAAGGCAGGGGAGUCACUUGUGACCUUGCGUUAAUAGAUGAGCCUAAGUCGGAUUAGCUAGUUGGUGGGGUAAAGGCCUACCAAGGCGACGAUCUGUAGCGGGUCUGGGAGGAUGAUCCGCCACACUGGGACUGAGACACGGCCCAGACUCCUACGGGAGGCAGCAGUGGGGAAUAUUGGACAAUGGGGGGAACCCUGAUCCAGCCAUGCCGCGUGUGUGAAGAAGGCCUUAUGGUUGUAAAGCACUUUAAGCGAGGAGGAGGCUCUUCUAGUUAAUACCUAGGAUGAGUGGACG
rnacentral:rRNA from 1 species